rnacentral:misc_RNA from 1 species
UAGCUGCGUUAAAUAGCGCGAAUUGCAGACACAUUGAGCGCUAAAAUUUCGAACGCACAUUGCGCCAUCGGGUUCAUUCCCGUUGGCAUGCCCGUCCGAGGGUCGGAUACCCUAUGUUACCGACAUCGUUAUUAGGAUGUUCGCGCAGAGGUCGUCUGCUUGCGCGAAGCCCCUAGUAGCGUACGCGUUGGUUAGUCGGAGCGCUACUACGAGUUUAGUACCGUUCUUAGAUGAAAUAAUUCUUCGGAAUUUGCGUAAUAUUAACGCAACGCUUCGAUACACAUGGUGGCUUAGGCCGGGUUCGCGCCGCUCGUUUAAUCAGCACGAACCGACAAGCGCCCUAUAUCCACCGUCGAGCGUACUUCAUCAAUUGACCUCGGAUCGGACAUGACUACCCGCU